rnacentral:lncRNA from 1 species
AUUUAUUAUUUUAUUCUUUUUGGCAUGUAUUUUCCCCUUCCUCCUCAGUUCCCCACUGCUGCCCAUAAAAUCCCAAAUCUUAUUCAAGGCCUAUCUCAAAUAGUCUUCCUCCUAAGAAGCCUGGUUUUGUUUUUUGUUUUAAUAUUAUUUCUUGUGAUCUCUUCUUACCUCAUACACUGUAUAUGCUUAACUCACAUUGUAUUGUGCUAUGUGUAUGCUGCAUAUGGCUAGGUCCUCUGGGACAGGGAUUGUGCCUUUUUCCUUUCAGUGUCACCUGUGGGACCAAGCACAGACCUAUAUGCAGUGGGCCCUAAAUAAACAUUUGCUGAAUUAAAAAUGUUAAGUAUUUCUGGUUUUCCCAGUCCUUUAUACAAUAAUUUGUGUCUGCUGAUGAUCCAAACCUCUUUGCUCACUUUCGAAGGCCUGCAAAAUCCCUCCAGAACAAAGCUCAGCCUGCGGCAUGACUCAGCAAUACAGGGUCUGCGUGCAUUCCCGGCUCUGGUAGCUUCUACAGAAUGGAAGGAAGUUUGUUUCAGCCACACCAGGGGGCAGUGUGACACACGUCUGCAUGGCCAUCAAGGCAGGGCUUUUGUCUCUGUAUUCAUAAGGCCAAGGGAAGUUACAGUAACUACCUGUCAAAGAGGCCUUCCUGUUUAGUGAAGUUAGACAAAGAGUGCUGGAGACGUGACACAUGACUAGACUAAG